AGCGAACGCUGGCGGCAGGCCUAACACAUGCAAGUCGAACGAAGCCUUCGGGCUUAGUGGCGGACGGGUGAGUAACACGUGGGAACGUACCUUUUGGUUCGGAAUAACGCAGAGAAAUUUGCGCUAAUACCGGAUGAGCCCUUCGGGGGAAAGAUUUAUCGCCGAAUAGAUCGGCCCGCGUUGGAUUAGGUAGUUGGUGUGGUAAAGGCACACCAAGCCUACGAUCCAUAGCUGGUCUGAGAGGAUGAUCAGCCCCACUGGGACUGAGACACGGCCCAGACUCCUACGGGAGGCAGCAGUGGGGAAUCUUGCGCAAUGGGCGAAAGCCUGACGCAGCCAUGCCGCGUGAAUGAUGAAGGUCUUAGGAUUGUAAAAUUCUUUUACCAGGGACGAUAAUGACGGUACCUGGAGAAAAAGCCCCGGCUAACUUCGUGCCAGCCGCCGCAGUAAGAC
rnacentral:rRNA from 1 species